UACGGAGGAUGCAAGCGUUAUCCGGAAUGAUUGGGCGUAAAGCGUCCGCAGGUGGCAGUUCAAGUCUGCUGUCAAAGACCGGGGCUUAACUUCGGAAAGGCAGUGGAAACUGAACAGCUAGAGUAUGGUAGGGGCAGAGGGAAUUCCCGGUGUAGCGGUGAAAUGCGUAGAGAUCGGGAAGAACAUCGGUGGCGAAAGCGCUCUGCUGGACUGCAACUGACACUCAGGGACGAAAGCUAGGGGAGCGAAUGGG
rnacentral:rRNA from 1 species